rnacentral:snRNA from 1 species
GUGCUUGUUUCUGCAGCACAUGUACUAAAAUUGGACCAAUACAGAGAUUAGCAUGGCUCCUUUGCAUGACAUGCAAAUUCAUGAAAUCUUUCAUAUUUUA